rnacentral:tRNA from 1 species
GCCCGCGUGGUGUUCGGCGCGCGCGAGGGCGGCUUCGGGCUGCUCUCGGCCGCGUUCGGCAUCGGGGCGAUGGCC